ACCUUAACUAUUAGUUACAUUGUGGACGCCAUCUUUGUUGUGUUUCGUAAUUCCAUUCAUGGCCACUAAGUUUUGUGCUCCAGGGUGUGGAACGGGCUAUGACAACGAGCCACAACAGUCUGGUGUUAAGAUCCAUCUAUGGCCAAACAAAGAGAGAAACCCCGGACUUGAUACCGCCUGGCUGAGAGCCAUUACAAGAGAAACAGAUCUGAAGAAGAUGGAUCAGGCACCAUCUAAAAGUACAAAGCUGCGUUCCCUGCAUUUCAACGACUCUGAUUUCAUCUGUGAGUCUAAAAGAAGUCAGACCCUUGGCAAGGCUCUAAAGAAGAGGUAAGAUAGCUGCUCACUUUUGAUGCGUAUGCUUAUAACUUUACAGGUACCUCAAACCCGAUAUAGUAUCAUCCCUAUGGCCAAACUGUCCCAACUACCUCUCAACUCCUAAAGCGUCAUCAAGGCCAACUUAAGCUGCGAACAAGUCACGUAGGGCUCAACAGUUCAAUAACCUAAACAACACCUGGAAUUUGAACUCUUGAAUGAGAACUCUGGAAGAACUUGGUCACAAAUUGCCCAAGGAGACACUCCCCUCCUCAUCACAAAACCAAGUGUUGCCCUUUUGAAGCUAUCCCAUGAUGAGAAAUUGGGCCCCCAAGUAGUAGCCAGCAUCUAGUUUGAGACAGAUAUGUCAUUCAAAAUGAAUCACUCUGGGUGUUGAUUGACAAAAAGGUAGUGUCACACAUCACCUCAGAAAGCAAAGUCAACACUGUGAUUCAAGCCAUCAAUUUGUCUUCCUUUCUGGGAGCAAAAGAAGAAUUGAAUCAAACAGAGACCUGGGAAGACAUUCUCAACAAGUUAGUGAAGUUUCUCAACUCCUCAGAGAUUGAACCUACACAAGUAUUCUGAGUCUUGUCAAAUUCUGAGGUGUGAUUACUUCAGAAGUUAAGCUCUGCUGAUGAAGACCUGGUAAAGCUGAGCUCAUUUUGACUAACUGGCAACUAGAUGACAUCCAGGAACUAGCUUCCAGGGGAGAGAGUAAUGCUUUCUACUUUGUUGCCGUGUACAUUGGUUUUUCUUUGAAGAUGAAGAUCAACUGUGCAUCAUGCCAAGAGUUAAUGGUCAUUAGAGACACAACUCCGGACUCAAUAACCUUCGAUAGCCCAACCAAUCAGCAUGUAGACCUGAAAUAGUUGCUCGACAUAAUGAGCAGAGGGGGGUUGUCGACUCCACCCGACCUUCUCUACCUCUCCUGUCUUUAUGCUCACUCCAUGUUCUCUUAACUCACAGAUACUCCUGAAGAGAAAGACAGUUUACUUGGUACCCCAAAUUUCUAGAGCUUCAUUUGUUGCCACAUUCAUUGACAGGCCGUUGUAGGAGUUAAGUGCGAGGAAGGACGCUCCUGGUCAUCUUUUCUUCAAGAAUUUUAUUCACUUUGUUUAAUGUCAUGGGUAAAAAUGAGUCCUUGAUUCAUCGAAGGAAUACUACAACUACUGGAAAGGAAACAAAAAUAUCGCGCUCACACAAGAAGGUUGACCCUCUCUUUUCCUUUAACUACAAAAAGGAGACAUGAUUAGUAUGAUUUAUGAACAUUCAUAAAUUUAUCCGACUUGUAACAAUUUAUCACAUUCUUAAACUAAUCAAUUUCUUAACUUAACCUAAAUUAUAUUUAUCCUUUAACUUAAUAAUUUAAUUUUAUACCCAGACAAAUUAAAACUUAAUUUAUAUUAGCUUCGACAUUCA
rnacentral:lncRNA from 1 species